rnacentral:rRNA from 1 species
UACGUAGGGUGCGAGCGUUAAUCGGAAUUACUGGGCGUAAAGCGUGCGCAGGCGGUUUUUUAAGACAGGCGUGAAAUCCCCGGGCUUAACCUGGGAACUGCGUUUGAAACUGGAAGGCUAGAGUGUGGCAGAGGGGGGUGGAAUUCCACGUGUAGCAGUGAAAUGCGUAGAUAUGUGGAGGAACACCGAUGGCGAAGGCAGCCCCCUGGGCUAACACUGACGCUCAUGCACGAAAGCGUGGGGAGCAAACAGG